AUGCUUUAUAAAUGUGUAAAGAGGGUUAAUGAACUGGGAUAAUCUGUAAAAAUGAAGAAUUUCUUGUCAGUUUUAUUAUUAUUUUUUUCACAGAGAACACACACGGAGGACAGAGACAAUAUAGAACUCUUAUUUAUUAUAGUAAGAUGCGUGAGUUAAGGUGGCAAGAAGAGAUAGCAAUUGCCUUGCACUUUUGCUAGAUACAUAAUCAUUCCUUAACAAGGGAAUCAUCCCUAGGUGCUCGCUCAGCCACUGGAAUUCUUCUUUGAAAGGCCUUUAAUUAGUGUGGGAAACUUCCUGUUAAUUUUUUUAUUAUUAAGGUCAAAGGAUUCCUUAAAAAAACAAAAUAUAUAGGUCAAAGGAUCUAUUGGGUUCAUUUGUACCUGGGUGUCGGAAUCAGGAUGCUGGAUUGAUAAAUAUUUACAAGGAAGAAUGAUAAUUGUAGAAUGAGGAUUUGGAUUUGAGCAAUAGAACAGUCUUCACAGGCAACAGAUCCAUUUAAAUUUUUUAUUUCCACUGAAAUUCUUCUGCAAUGGAUGAGGCAAGAUCAUUGAUUUAAUAGUGGUUCUGCUGAUGACAAUUUCUAUUGAUUUGUUUUAUCGUUUGAUGCAUUGCUGUUCAUCUUAAAUACCUUUAGAUGAUGAUAAUAUGUGUGGUGAUACAAAUUAUGUAUUAAGAAAACAAUCUUUGCUGAAGCUUCAUGAUUUGGUUUCGUUUUCUGUCCAAGCUUGGUGUAACUAAUUUCUAUCAUAAUUUUUCUUCCCUUCAUGUGAACUGCAGUAACAAUGUUAUGUGUAAAUAGA
rnacentral:misc_RNA from 1 species